rnacentral:rRNA from 1 species
UACAGACGGUCCGAGCGUUUGUUCGGAUUCACUGGGCGUAAAGGGUGCGUAGGUGGUUAGGUAAGUCCGAUGUGAAAUCUCCAGGCUCAACCUGGAAAUGGCAUUGGAUACUAUUUAGCUUGAGGAGUGGAGGGGGGACUGGAAUUCCUGUGGUGAGCGGUAGGUAAAGUGAACGGCCGAGAAGUAAUUACUCAAGGGAAAGGGAAAACCAACCCCCGGUUGGGGCCGUAAAAGGGGCGGGACUUCCC